UACGUAGGUGGCAAGCGUUGUUCGGAAUUACUGGGCGUAAAGCGCGCGUAGGCGGCUUUGUAAGUUAGAGGUGAAAGCCCGGAGCUCAACUCCGGAAUUGCCUUUAAGACUGCAUCGCUAGAAUCAUGGAGAGGUGAGUGGAAUUCCGAGUGUAGAGGUGAAAUUCGUAGAUAUUCGGAAGAACACCAGUGGCGAAGGCGACUCACUGGACAUGUAUUGACGCUGAGGUGCGAAAGCGUGGGAGCAAACAGG
rnacentral:rRNA from 1 species